rnacentral:rRNA from 1 species
CUAAGCGGGAAACUCGCCUUAAGAUGAGACUUCCCAGAGACUAGAUCUCUUUAAAGGGUCGUUCGAGACCAGGACGUUGAUAGGCUGGGUGUGGAAGUGCAGUAAUGCAUUAAGCUAACCAGUACUAAUUGCCCGUAAGGCUUGUCCCU